rnacentral:rRNA from 1 species
AUACGGAGGGUGCAAGCGUUAAUCGGAAUUACUGGGCGUAAAGCGUACGUAGGCGGUUAUUUAAGUCAGAUGUGAAAGCCCCGGGCUUAACUUGGGAACUGCAUUUGAAACUGGGUAACUAGAGUUUAGUAGAGGGGAGUGGAAUUUCAGGUGUAGCGGUGAAAUGCGUAGAGAUCUGAAGGCACACCAGUGGCGAAGGCGACUCCCUGGAACACUUCUGACGCUGAGGCGCGAAGGCGUGGGGAGCAAACAGGAGUAGAAACCCGAGUAGUCC